rnacentral:rRNA from 1 species
GAUGAACGCUGGCGGCGUGCCUAAUACAUGCAAGUCGAGCGAACGGACGAGAAGCUUGCUUCUCUGAUGUUAGCGGCGGACGGGUGAGUAACACGUGGAUAACCUACCUAUAAGACUGGGAUAACUUCGGGAAACCGGAGCUAAUACCGGAUAAUAUUUUGAACCGCAUGGUUCAAAAGUGAAAGACGGUCUUGCUGUCACUUAUAGAUGGAUCCGCGCUGCAUUAGCUAGUUGGUAAGGUAACGGCUUACCAAGGCAACGAUGCAUAGCCGACCUGAGAGGGUGAUCGGCCACACUGGAACUGAGACACGGUCCAGACUCCUACGGGAGGCAGCAGUAGGGAAUCUUCCGCAAUGGGCGAAAGCCUGACGGAGCAACGCCGCGUGAGUGAUGAAGGUCUUCGGAUCGUAAAACUCUGUUAUUAGGGAAGAACAUAUGUGUAAGUAACUGUGCACAUCUUGACGGUACCUAAUCAGAAAGCCACGGCUAACUACGUGCCAGCAGCCGCGGUAAUACGUAGGUGGCAAGCGUUAUCCGGAAUUAUUGGGCGUAAAGCGCGCGUAGGCGGUUUUUUAAGUCUGAUGUGAAAGCCCACGGCUCAACCGUGGAGGGUCAUUGGAAACUGGAAAACUUGAGUGCAGAAGAGGAAAGUGGAAUUCCAUGUGUAGCGGUGAAAUGCGCAGAGAUAUGGAGGAACACCAGUGGCGAAGGCGACUUUCUGGUCUGUAACUGACGCUGAUGUGCGAAAGCGUGGGGAUCAAACAGGAUUAGAUACCCUGGUAGUCCACGCCGUAAACGAGGAGUGCUAAGUGUUAGGGGGUUUCCGCCCCUUAGUGCUGCAGCUAACGCAUUAAGCACUCCGCCUGGGGAGUACGACCGCAAGGUUGAAACUCAAAGGAAUUGACGGGGACCCGCACAAGCGGUGGAGCAUGUGGUUUAAUUCGAAGCAACGCGAAGAACCUUACCAAAUCUUGACAUCCUUUGACAACUCUAGAGAUAGAGCCUUCCCCUUCGGGGGACAAAGUGACAGGUGGUGCAUGGUUGUCGUCAGCUCGUGUCGUGAGAUGUUGGGUUAAGUCCCGCAACGAGCGCAACCCUUAAGCUUAGUUGCCAUCAUUAAGUUGGGCACUCUAAGUUGACUGCCGGUGACAAACCGGAGGAAGGUGGGGAUGACGUCAAAUCAUCAUGCCCCUUAUGAUUUGGGCUACACACGUGCUACAAUGGACAAUACAAAGGGCAGCGAAACCGCGAGGUCAAGCAAAUCCCAUAAAGUUGUUCUCAGUUCGGAUUGUAGUCUGCAACUCGACUACAUGAAGCUGGAAUCGCUAGUAAUCGUAGAUCAGCAUGCUACGGUGAAUACGUUCCCGGGUCU